rnacentral:lncRNA from 1 species
AUGCGCCUCUCACCGGCUGGCAAGCUAGCGCCGUCUAGUGUCACAUUUGAAAAUUAGCCCCUAUUUCCGGUAAACACGCUUCCGCUUUCCCGUGCCAACAAUCGGAAAGCGAUACCAUACGCACCGAGUGAGCUAUGACUUUCAGCGCGUCUCUGCGUUUGCACGUCCUGCUUCUCUUGUACGCGUGGAUGAAUUUGCAUGUAGUUUGGUUUGCAAUAGCACUUAUGCGCUACCAAGAGCGCUGCCGGCAAAUACGGCUGCUGCACAGUCAAGCUUUGCAACUUGGCGCCAGUGCCACUACGCCGUCGACUCUUAGCGGAUUGGCGCUGAUGCAAGAUAGCCUAUCAAAGGAGCGGCGCAAGCAGUCUUUCUGGGAAAAAACAAGAUCUGAUGAAUGGUGGCGUCACAUCGUCUUAGAAUUGGCGGACAGCGACUGAAUGGAAAAUUUCCGCAUGAGCCGGGCUUCGUUUUAUGAGCUUGUCACUCUCAUGGAAACUUAUAUGUCACCCAAAUCUGGCUGGGUGCGCGCUCCCUUGCCCCUGGAAAAGAGAGUGGCCAUUGCAUUGUACAAGCUAGCUAGCUGCUGUGAGUACAGGAAUGUUGCAAACCAAUUUGGUGUGCACAAAAGUACUGUCAAAAAGUGUUUUUACAUGUUCUGUCAUGCACUUACGGAGUAUUACUUGAAGACAUUAGUAAUGCUACCAUAAGCACAAGAAGCCACAGCAAUAGCCGGAAACUUUGAGCUCAGGUGACACUUGCCUCAAAUUUUUGGGGCGAUUGAUGGGACUCAUAUUCCAAUAACGGCCCCGAAAAAAGCUAGGCUGCAGAGACUUGGUAAACAGGAAGGGCUGCACAUCGUACAAUUUACAAGCCGUAGUGGAUGGCAGAGGCCUAUUUCGCAGCAUCACUAGCAACGUGCCUGGAUAAGCGCAUGAUGCCACAGUGCUCAAGUUGUCAACUUGUACCGGAUCAGCAACGACCUGCUGCCACAGGGACAAAGAACCUUGCGCGGCUUCCAAAUACCAUUUAUGCCGCUUGGUGACCCUGCAUACCCAUGUUUGCAUUGGAUUUUAAAAGGCUAUACAGGGGCACUCUCUAAGGAACAGUAGUCAUUUAACGUUUACCACAGUUCAGGGCGCAAUGUAGUUCAGGGCGUUUGAGCUACUAAAGAGACGAUGGCGCAUACUUUUAAAGCGAGCAGAUGUCAGCUAUAAGUUCAUGCCAACGGUAAUAGCAGCGACAUGUAUAGUGCAUAAUUUCUGUGAACAGAGGCGGGAAAGCAUCACAGAUGCAUGGCUGUCAGCUGUUCAAGAUACGGAGCAAAACAUCUAUGUACAGCCGUCUAGCAGUCCUCAGGACCGGAAUGCUGUCUAUGCUAUGCGAGACUUUUUGAAGCAGUACAUGGCAGAAUAAUUUCCUUUGCGCUCUGCUUCAUGGUAGAACAUU